UCAAGAACAACAAACACCCAAUUUCAAUUUAAACAACAACAAUUCCAUCAACAACAACAACAACAUUUUCUUCAACAACAACAACCUUCACUUGCUUCUAACUUUCAUCUUCAUCAAUCUCAAAAAUAAAAACCCAAAAUUAAAUGUUGAUAAAACCCAAAAAUCAAAAUCCUACAAUACACACAACUUACAAAGGCUAAAUUGAACACUAGAUAAUAGCAUAGAUAACAUAUGGAAUUUCAGGGAGAUAGCCCAAAAGGGUUAGCACCAAACAGAGGCAGAACUCCACCUAUAUAACACACAACCACCAAACAAUUGAUUAAUUAAACAUGAAAAAUUUACAAAAAAGAAACGAUGAAGAAGGAAUGAUGAGGAAGAUUACGUGGCAGUGUUGAUGAAGAAAAAUUUACAAACAAAAAAAACGAUGGGAAACAGUGUUGUUGUUGUUGUGUUGUUGUUCCUCUUUUCUUUUUUUAUUUUAUUUUUUAAUUCAUGAUGAUGAUGAUAAUGAUAAUGAUAAUGAAAGAAAGCAAAAAGGGUUGAAUUUGAUUUGAUAUUGUUGUUGUUGUAU
rnacentral:lncRNA from 1 species